GCAACAUAAAUAGAGACGCAACAAAGCAAUUGGAAACGAUCAAGGUCACCGAACCGACCGUCAUUUUCGAACUAACAAUUGUUCUUUAAGUUGAAACAGGUAUUAAUCCAAGACAACCGUGCAAGAAGCAGGUGUCGCCCAAAGAAGAAGGUACACGGGUACAAGAAACAUUUUGGCAAUAAGGAAUUCACUCGAAAGGUAGGUUUCCACGAAACUCCCUUUUAUCUUCUACUAAAAUAAGAAAAUUCAAAAAAAGAGGUCGCUUAACUUUGUCCCCAGCCAAUCAGCAUUAGGGUUUUAAAACCUAAACUGAAUUUUCCUUUUAGUCAGCAUUAGGGUUUUAAACCCUAAACUGAACUUUUCCCUUUCAGCCAGCAUUAGAGUUUUAAACUCUAAACUGAGCUUUUCCAUGCAAUCAGCAUUAGGGUUUUAAACCCUAAAACUGAAUUUUCCUUUUAGUCAGCAUUAGGGUUUUUAAACCCUAAACUGAACUUUUCCCUUUCAGCCAGCAUUAGAGUUUUAAACUCUAAACUGAGCUUUUCCAUGCAAUCAGCAUUAGGGUUUUAAAACCUAAACUGAAUUUUCCUUUUAGUCAGCAUUAGGGUUUUAAACUCUAAACUGAGCUUUUCCAUGCAAUCAGCAUUAGGGUUUUAAACCCUAAACUGAAUUUUUCCUUUCAGCCAGCAUUAGAGUUUUAAACUCUAAACUGAGCUUUUCCAUGAAAUCAGCAUUAGGGUUUUAAA
rnacentral:lncRNA from 1 species